AUUGAACGCUGGCGGCAGGCCUAACACAUGCAAGUCGAGCGGAUGAAGGGAGCUUGCUCCUGGACUCAGCGGCGGACGGGUGAGUAAUGCCUAUGAAUCUGCCUUGUCGUGGGGGAUAACGUCCGGAAACGGGCGCUAAUACCGCAUACGUCCUGAGGGAGAAAGUGGGGGAUCUUCGGACCUCACGCUAUCAGAUGAGCCUAGGUCGGAAUAGCUAGUUGGUGGGGUAACGGCCUACCAAGGCGACGCUGCGUAACUGGUCUGAGAGGAUGAUCAGUCACACGGGAAAAGAGACACGGCCCAGACUCCUACGCGAGGCAGCAGUGGGGAAUAUUAGGCGAGGCGCGAGAGGCUGAUCCAGGAAUACCGGGGGUGUGAAGAAGGAGUCAGGAUUGGUGAGCGCUGAAGGUUGUAGGGUAGUACAGUAAGUUAAGAGGUGACUGUAUUGACGGUACCCACAGAAGAAGCCCCGGCUAACUUCGUG
rnacentral:rRNA from 1 species